UGGUUAGUUCCCGUAAAUUUAAUUUACUCUUACAUGUUAAGGUUUAAAUCAAAUUUUGAUAUCUGUUAAUAUAACCUAGAUGUUGAUUCUACUAACGAGGAAGAAGACUUAGGUGCUCUUACCACCACAAAUCCAAUGCAUUAAGGAUAUUUUGAUAUUCUAGGUCCAAUUAUGCAAUGCAAAGAGUGCCAAGCAAUGAUGUGGUAUGAUGAGAGGAUAGACAAGUAUAGGGAUGUUGCCAAUCUGAAAUUCAACCUUUAUUGUGGCAAUGGGAAAGUUCAGUUACCAUUCUUACAACUAGUACCUCAAUUGUUGCAACAUCUCUUAUUUGAUAAAUUUGCAAGUGAAGGCAAGAACUAUCAACAAAAUAUUCAGAUGUAUAAUACGAUGUUCGCAUUUAUGUCUCCUGCAGCAAAGGUUGACAAAACUAUAAACAAUGGAAAAGGGCCACCAACUAUCCAUAUUCAGGGUCAGCCAUGCCAUAGGAUUGGUAGCCUUCUGCCUCCGUCUGGUGGUGUACCAAAAUUUGCAUAGUUAUACAUUUAUGAUAUUGAACAUGAAGUUCAAAACAAAGCUGUUAGUGAUAGGAAUAAUGUUGACCCUAAUAUUGUGUCAAGAUUAAUAGCUAUCUUAGAUGAACAUAAUUCUCAUGCAAAAUCCUUUCAUAUGGCGAGAGAUAGACUAAAAGAGAAAAAUUUGUCAGAUCUCAAGCUAAAACUCAUUGCUAACCGCGUCAAGGAUGGUCGAAUAUAUAAUAUCCCAACUGUAUCAGAAGUUGCUGCAUUGUUUUUAGGGGAUGUAGAUACAAUCUCAACUAGGGAUAUCAUUCUAGAGACAUGAGGUGGCGAUUUGCAAAGAAUAAAUGAGUUACACGCCAAUUAUUUAGCAUUACAAUAUCCACUUUUGUAUCCCUAUGGUGAAGACAGAUAUAGGCAUGACAUUCUUCACAAGGUGACAUUUCUUGGUCAAGCUUGAAAGAGAGUGCACCUUAAAAUAAGGGAAUGGUUUUCUUUUAGACUACAAUUGAGGCCAGUUGAAGCGCAAACACUUUUGCAUUCAAGGAAUCUUUUCCAAGAAUUUGUUGUUGACGAUUAUACCAUGGUGGAAUCAGAGAGACUUGCUUUCAUCGGGAUGAAUCAAUCAAAGUUAAGAGUUGACAAAUAUUCUAAUUAACACCAAUCCUCUGAUGAAGGUACUACUCAAGGAUCAAAUAGAGGAAAAAGAAUCAUCUUGCCUUCAACACUUGUUUGCAGCCCUAGGUACAUGGAACAACUAUAUUUUGAUGGUAUGGUUAUAUGUAGUAAUACAGGAUUUCCCGAUUUAUUUAUCACAUUUACGUGUAAUCCUAAUUGGCUCGAAAUACAAAGAUUGUUGUCUCCAAUGAAUUUGAAAGUUAUGGAUAGACCUGAUGUUAU